rnacentral:rRNA from 1 species
AACCUUGUGACUGCGUAUUUGUAUAAUGGGUCAGCGACUUAUAUUUUGUAGCGAGGUUAACUGAAUAAGGGAGCCGAAGGGAAACCGAGUCUUAACUGGGCGUUGAGUUGCAAGGUAUAGACCCGAAACCCGGUGAUCUAGCCAUGGGCAGGUUGAAGGUUGGGUAACACUAACUGGAGGACCGAACCGACUAAUGUUGAAAAAUUAGCGGAUGACUUGUGGCUGGGGGUGAAAGGCCAAUCAAACCGGGAGAUAGCUGGUUCUCCCCGAAAUCUAUUUAGGUAGAGCCUUGAGCGGACACCUUCGGGGGUAGAGCACUGUUUCGGCUAGGGGUCCAUCCCGGAUUACCAACCGAUGCAAACUGCGAAUACCGAAGAGUGAUACUCAGGAGACACACGGCGGGUGCUAACGUUCGUCGUGGAGAGGGAAACAACCCAGACCGCCAGCUAAGGUCCCAAAGUCUAUAUUAAGUGGGAAACGAAGUGGGAAGGCUUAGACAGCUAGGAUGUUGGCUUAGAAGCAGCCAUCAUUUAAAGAAAGCGUAAUAGCUCACUAGUCGAGUCGGCCUGCGCGGAAGAUGUAACGGGGCUCAAAUAUAGCACCGAAGCUGCGGCAUCAGAAUUUAUUCUGUUGGGUAGGGGAGCGUUGUGUAAGCGGAAGAAGGUGGCUCGAGAGGGUUGCUGGACGUAUCACAAGUGCGAAUGCUGACAUAAGUAACGAUAAAACGAGUGAAAAACUCGUUCGCCGGAAGACCAAGGGUUCCUGUCCAACGUUAAUCGGGGCAGGGUGAGUCGGCCCCUAAGGCGAGGCUGAAAAGCGUAGUCGAUGGGAAACGGGUUAAUAUUCCCGUACUUGGUAAAGCUGCGAUGUGGGGACGGAGAAGGUUAGGUAAGCGGACUGUUGGAAAUGUCCGUUUAAGUUGGUAGUUGGGAGCGGUAGGCAAAUCCGCUGCUCCAUUCAACAACGAGAGAUGAUGACGAGUUCCUAAGGGAAUGAAGUUACCGAUACCCGGCUUCCAGGAAAAGCCACUAAGCGAAAGGCUUUAUUAAACCGUACUGAAAACCGACACAGGUGGUCAGGUAGAGAAUACUCAGGCGCUUGAGAGAACUCGGGUGAAGGAACUAGGCAAAAUAGCACCGUAACUUCGGGAGAAGGUGCGCUUACAGUAAUUGUAGUCCCUCGCGGAUGAAGGUGAAGUAAGUCGAAGAUACCAGCUGGCUGCAACUGUUUAUUAAAAACACAGCACUCUGCAAACACGAAAGUGGACGUAUAGGGUGUGAUGCCUGCCCGGUGCUGGAAGGUUAAUUGAUGGUGUUAUCGAAAGAGAAGCUCCUGAUCGAAGCCCCAGUAAACGGCGGCCGUAACUAUAACGGUCCUAAGGUAGCGAAAUUCCUUGUCGGGUAAGUUCCGACCUGCACGAAUGGCAUAAUGAUGGCCAGGCUGUCUCCACCCGAGACUCAGUGAAAUUGAAAUCGCCGUGAAGAUGCGGUGUACCCGCGGCUAGACGGAAAGACCCCGUGAACCUUUACUAUAGCUUGACACUGAACAUUGAAUUUUGAUGUGUAGGAUAGGUGGGAGCCUUUGAAGCAGUGACGCCAGUCAUUGUGGAGGCGACCUUGAAAUACCACCCUUUAACGUUUGAUGUUCUAACGAAGUGCCUGAAACGGGUACUCGGACAGUGUCUGGUGGGUAGUUUGACUGGGGCGGUCUCCUCCCAAAGCGUAACGGAGGAGCACGAAGGUUUGCUAAUGACGGUCGGACAUCGUCAGGUUAGUGCAAUGGUAUAAGCAAGCUUAACUGCGAGACGGACAAGUCGAGCAGGUGCGAAAGCAGGUCAUAGUGAUCCGGUGGUUCUGAAUGGAAGGGCCAUCGCUCAACGGAUAAAAGGUACUCCGGGGAUAACAGGCUGAUACCGCCCAAGAGUUCAUAUCGACGGCGGUGUUUGGCACCUCGAUGUCGGCUCAUCACAUCCUGGGGCUGAAGUAGGUCCCAAGGGUAUGGCUGUUCGCCAUUUAAAGUGGUACGCGAGCUGGGUUUAGAACGUCGUGAGACAGUUCGGUCCCUAUCUGCCGUGGGCGUUGGAUGAUUGAUUGGGGCUGCUCCUAGUACGAGAGGACCGGAGUGGACGCAUCACUGGUGUUCCAGUUGUCUCGCCAGAGGCAUUGCUGGGUAGCUAAAUGCGGAAGAGAUAAGUGCUGAAAGCAUCUAAGCACGAAACUUGCCAAGAGAUGAGUCAUCCCUGACUUUAAGUCAGUAAGGGUUGUUUAAGACUAAGACGUAGAUAGGUUGGGUGUGUAAGUGUAGUGAUACAUUGAGCUAACCAAUACUAAUUGCCCGAGAGGCUUAACCAU